rnacentral:rRNA from 1 species
UACAGAGGGGGCAAGCGUUAUUCGGAAUUAUUGGGCGUAAAGGGCGCGUAGGCGGCCUGGCAAGUGGAAGGUGAAAUCCCUCGGCUUAACCGAGGAACUGCCCUCCAAACUGCUUGGCUUGAGUCCGGGAGAGGUGAGUGGAAUUCCCAGUGUAGCGGUGAAAUGCGUAGAUAUUGGGAGGAACACCAGUGGCGAAGGCGGCUCACUGGACCGGAACUGACGCUGGGGCGCGAAAGCGUGGGGAGCAAACGGG